AGAGAACUGCCGAUGGAGUGAGAGUUUGUUUUGUUUUUGCUCCAGCGAGUUAAUUCGGAUAUAGACAAUAUACCCACUAGCAAAGUGCGUUAAACGGUCUGUAUUUCGUUAAAGAAGUGUUAAUACUUGUAUUAAGUGGAUUAGUGUUUAUACUCGGUAAGAGAGUAAACGGUUAUGUUUUGUUUCGGAGUCUGAGGUAGAGCGCAGCCUGUCGCUAAGCUAACUAUCGGGACUAAGCUAAAAAAAAAAAGGAUUCUAUCUGACGGGGUUUCCAACCGGCUAACCGCCUAAGUGUUUAGUUAUUUAAAUUUCGGGACGGAGACAAGUUCAUGGAGCCGUUGUGACUGUAUAUCGGACGCGGAUUGGAUGUUGCUAUGCUAUGGUGAUACAGUAUCGUGUGGCUGCUGUUCAGGAGAGGAGGCCAUGAGACUACCUGAAUAUCUACGGCUGCAUCUAAGGGAAGUUCGCGUUUUAAGCACCUUGGAAGGCAAUCAGGUGAUCUAUUUAUUUUCUUUUAGCUCGUCAGAGCGAAGAGGCCAUUUGUAGUUUUAAAGGCCACCACGUUCCCCAGCAACGUUACAGGCCUGCAACAGGUGGGCCUGGAUGAGGCAGUUCGUAGUUGGGAAAAGCACAGAAGCAUUAACUCCUGGCUCUAAGGGAUCUAAGUUCAUAUGACGGCCAAUGCGUAAGCUCAGGUGUCCUCAGUGAAAUUGUCCUACAGCUGCUUGUUCCCGGAGGUCAGGAAAGUGUUCUGUUCUGCUGAUGGAGACAACCUGCACUUCAGCUGGACUUGUGAAUCAAACACUCGGUUGGAGGACGACAACAAAACCCUCGUACUGGAUAAAAUGCAUAUUAAAAAAGUCCCCUGUAAUGUCGAAUAUCACGUCAGUCAUGCCUACAAUUCAACUGAACUGCCAAAAUGUACCAGUGAGUCUGUCUUUUUUAAAUAACAUUAGAAAAUAUUUCUUUUGUUUCUAUACUUCUGUAAAGCUGCCUUGAGACAAUGUCCAUCAUUGAAGUGCUUGUAAAAUGAAUUGAAAAUAAUGAAUUACACUAUAUAAUGAAUAACACUGCUAUCCAGUGGCUUUUACCUAGUGACAACAUCGCCUUUAUAUUUUAAGCCCACUGUAAUGCUGUAAUUCUACAGUGGCAACAAUUUAAUAAAAUAUUAAAUAAGUCCUAUGUACUGAAUGUGUAAAUGCUGAAAUAAAAUCUGUUUUAGUUAUUAUUAAUGAUUUUAGUAUUUUUUUUAAUGUAACUCACCUACACACUCAUUUGUUCUAAACUGUUGUAUUGUCUGUAUAUACUGUAGCAUACAGUUAAGGAGGAACAGUGACGGGAAGAAUGUCAUCAAGAAGGGCAACCAUUGACAACAAACAUAUGCCCUUUAAAAUGUCUAAACUGUCUAGGGUGUGUGUGUGUGUGUGUGUGUGUGUGUGUGUGUGUGUGUGCCCUGCCAUGGGUUAUUACCUCAUCCAGACUGUCCACCAUCUUGAGUCCCCUGGGAAAGGCUCCUGCUCAAGAGUCCAGGGUUUACUAAUCUACCCCGGUUACUGCAAUAUGUUAUUUGCAAAGCAUCUUAACCCUAAAAAGAGCUCAUAAGGAUCAAAAAGUCUUAGGAGUAAUGAGGAGGACUUUUAAGAGGCUUAAGAGUUUCUUCAGCAGAAGGGAAAAUGGCCAAAAGGUGAAGGAGAAGACAUGUACAAUAUUUAAUACUGAUAGAUGCUACAGAUUAGAUCAUGUAGGGAUUAUUUUUGUGAAAAAUAAUAAUAGAGAUAACAUCUAUAGUAUAUUCUAUAGUCCCUACAUGAUAUAGCCUCAAAUAUCUUAACAUAGAGACAAAGUGAAGCUUAUAUUAGACCAUAAUGUCAUAUGUGUCAUAAAACACCACCUCUCUAAGAUAUACGUUUGUAUUUUCCUUGCUCAGAAUUGCUUUGAGAUUGGUCGUGAAUCACUCUUAAGAUACGAUUCCUAGUUAGAUUUUUUAAACUAAAUUAGAUAUCAUUCGUAGAAUAUGUAAUAUGUAGAACAUAGAAUAUGUAUGCAAUCAAUGGUCAUUGGUUGCACUUCUUGAUGGUGUACACGGCAUCAGUGACCAGCUACAUGUGCAUUGUGCAAGGCAAGUGCAUUGAUGAUGUGACCGUCUCCCAGACCAUCACCACACGCUCCAACCGGAAGCCACGAAUGACUGCUAAAGUGUGUGAGCUGCUGAAGCCUAGAGACCUAGCCAAGGGCCAAACUGUCCCGAGCCAUCAUAGAAUCAAAGCACACACAAGCCUAGACAAUCCACAGCCACUUCCAGGACAGCGGAGAAACCCGGCGCAGUACAGGUGAACUACAAGACAGCUUCACCUGCCUGUGAUAGUGAUACCUCCCUCCCAGAUGCACUGAAUGACUUCUAAAAUCAGUUGCGGAACAAUGUAGCGGGAAGGAAGACCAUGCUUUGAGAAGUGCUUUAAGGAGGUCAUCAUGAGGCACAUCAAGACCCAGUUACCACCCUCACUGGACCCCCUACAGUUUGCAUAUCGUCCAAACUGCUCUAUGGACGACGCCAUUGCCUCAGCCUUUCAUGUAGCCCUCACCCACCUGGACAAUAUAGACACUUACGUACAAAUUCUGUUCAUAGACUUUAGUUCAGCAUUCAACACAAUCAUCCCUCAGCACCUAAUUGAGAAGAUGAGCGUGCUGGGAAUGAACACCUUCCUCUGCAACUGGAUCCCGGACUUCCUAACUGGGAGACCUCUGUCAGGAACAGCAUCUCCAGCACCACCACACUGAGUACUGGAGCCCCUUAGGACUGCAUGCUCAGUCCACUGCUGUUCACCUUGCUGACUCACAACUGUGCAGCAAUGCCCAGA